CGCGCCUCGGCAUGUGCCUGCGUGUGCGUGCCUGUGUGCGCACGUGCCUCUGUGUGUGCGUGUGCCUGUGUGCAUGUUCGUGUAUGUGCAUGUGCGUGUGCGCGUGCCUCUGUGCACGUGUGCUUAUGUGCGUGUAUCCGUGUGCCUGUGUGCGCAUGCGUGUGUGCCUGUGUGCACGUGUGUGUGCCUCUGUGCGCGUGCGCCUGUCCACACGUGUGCGUGUGCCUGUGUGUGCAUGUGUGUGCCUGUUCCUGUGCCUGUAUGUGCGUGUGUGUGCGUGUGCCUCCAUGCGCGUGUGCGUGCACGUUCAGACACCAAGCGUGGGUGUUUGUCCGCGUGGCCUUGCUGCCCCCGUCGUGCGUGACCGGGGGAUACGCGGCGCUGCUGCACGCCCGGGGCGGGGAGAUCGGGUGCUGGGCGCGCCGCGUGCCCAGGAGCCUCCGUGUCCGGAGCCGCUUCCAGAGCCUCCGCCCACGAACGCUGUUCGGCGUGAGACGGUGUACAUGUCUCGAGGGAACGCGUCGUGCAUCACCCUGUGCUCGUCGCAGCAGCUGCCCUCCUGCAUCCCCGCCACCCACCUCGCCCAGUGCCACCCCCACCUUCCCUCCGGUGACUGUCAGUGGGUUCUCUAUAGGUUUUCUUUUCUUCAAGUUUCCUGUUUGAAUUCCAGUUAACAUACAGUGUGAUGUGCGUUUGACACGUCAAAGUAGAUGCUUUUUAGUGUUGAGCAUUGAGCCUUUUUUAUAUAUUCUAGAUGCUAGUCUUCUUUAUUUUUUUAAUUUUUUAGAAUUAUUUUUAUUUANNNNNNNNNNNNNNNNNNNNNNNNNNNNNNNNNNNNNNUUAUCUAUUUAUUUCUUUAUUUAUUUAUUUUAGAUGCUAGUGUUUUGUUGGAUGCGGGGUUUGUGAACGUUUCCUCCCAGUCUGUGUCUUUUUAUCCUCUUCGCACGGGUGUUCACAGAGCAGAAGUUUUAUGAUUUUUAAGAGGUCCAGGUUAUCAAUUUUUCCUUUGAUGGAUCCUGCUUCUGGUGUCAGGUUGUCUAGCCCUAAAUUGCGGUGGUGGUCUUCUGUGUUGUUUUCCAAAAAGGUGUUAGAGUUUUACACUUUACGUUUAAGUCCAGGAUCCAUUGUAAAGGUGUAAGGUUCAGGCCAGUGAAAUUUUUCCCUUUUUUUGUCCCUAUAUGAUUGCUCCAGCACCAUUUGUUGAAAAGACUCUUCCUCCAUCAAACUGUUUUUGCUCCUUUGUCAAGGUCACCUGGACGUAUCUGUGUGGGGCUGUUUCUGGGUUCUCUGAUGUUCCACUGGUCUGUGUGUCUUGAUUACUUGCAACUACAUAAGUCCUGAAAGUCUGCAGACUGACUCCUCUUAGCUUCUUCCUUUUCAAAUUGCUCUCAGCUAUUCAAGGGCCUGCGCGUUUAUAUCACGUACAUGGUUUUCUAUUUUUAUUUUUUAAGAUUUUAUUUAUUUAUUCAUGACAGACAGAGAGAGAGGCAGAGACACAAGCAGAGGGAGAAGCAGGCUCCACGCAGGGAUCCCGAUGCAGGACUCGAUCUCGGGACCCCAGGAUCACGCCCUGGGCCGAAGGCGACGCUAAACCACCGAGCCACCCAGGCUGCCCACGUACAUGGUUUUUAAAAAGUCACCCAGAGGCGCAUUUAAUGUAACGUACGUGGAGCAGGUGCGUGAAGCCAUUUGUGUGUAAGAAAACACCUGAGGUACAGGGGAGUCAGCAGGUGACACUUGCCCCCCAGCAGCGAGCAGGAAGUGAGCGGAGCGCGUGGCCUUCUGCGGGGCGCGGCCCCUCCUCGGCCUGGCCCAGCCUUCCACCGCCAGGUGAGCAGCGCCAGGUCUUCCGAAACGUCUACAGAGAGCUCGGAAUCUUCCGGUUUUUACUAAAUAAAAGUACGAGGUCAAAACA
rnacentral:lncRNA from 1 species